GGGGAAGGACUUCCCUGGUGGCACAGUGGUUAAGAAUCCGCCUGCCAAUGUAGGGGACACGGGAAGAUCCCACAUGCCGCGGAGCAACUAAGCCCGUGCGCCACAACUACUGAGCCUGCGCUCUAGAGCCCACGAGCCACAACUACUGAAGCCCACGAGCCACAACUACUGAAGUCCGCACGCCUAGAGCCCGUGCUCCGCAACAAGAGAAGCCACCGCAAUGAGAAGCCCGCGCACCGCAACAAAGACCCAAUGCAGCCAAAAAUAAAAAAUGAAUUAAAAAAAAAAGACACAAAAAAGUUGAACAUGAAAGGAUUGAAAAAAAAGAAGAUGGGGAAAGUGCAGGUGGUUGACCCUGGAGGACUUCAAGCAGAGCAUGAUUUUUGCUGCAUGGAGAAGGAAGUUUGGUUUGGAUUUACAAGUCUCAGGAGAAAGGUAAAUGCAUUUUCCUGGGCCUCUGUUGAAGCAGCCAGGUGCCACUUCCUGGAGCUGUUGCUGGUCCCUAACAUAGCCACAGAGAGCAUCAGGAUACAGGACACCGAAGGACCUCACUGUUCCAGAGGAUGCAGCAGAAAAUACGUCAAACCCAUGAAGAAGAGAAUAAUGAGAUAAUGCAUGCAGAGCACUGGCCAGAAGCCUUGCCUUAGAGGAAGCACUCACUGAGAAUUUGCCCUGUAUGUUUAUUGGUGAUUAUGACUAAUUCCUGUCAACGACGCAGGGCAGACCCAACACUGUAUACAAAUGGACACACCUACU